rnacentral:rRNA from 1 species
GGGAACGCGAAGACCCUUACCAAGGCUUGACAUACACCGGAAACGGCCAGAGAUGGUUGCCCCCUUGUGGUCGGUGUACAGGUGGUGCAUGGUUGUCGUCAGCUCGUGUCGUGAGAUGUUGGGUUAAGUCCCGCAACGAGCGCAACCCUCGUUCUAUGUUGCCAGCGCGUUAUGGCGGGGACUCAUAGGAGACUGCCGGGGUCAACUCGGAGGAAGGUGGGGAUGACGUCAAAUCAUCAUGCCCCUUAUGUCUUGGGCUUCACGCAUGCUACAAUGGCCGGUACAAAGGGCUGCGAUACCGUAAGGUGGA